ensembl:snoRNA
AUUGGUUAAAAAUCACCUGAGGCUUUGGCUGUGGCUGUAGGUGAGAUUUGGUACCCAGAGCCACUAGGAGCCUCAGCUAACCACCCACUCAUGGGUAUGGAGGGUGAGAUCCAGGCUCUGACCUAC